CCUACGGGAGGCAGCAGUGGGGGAUAUUGGACAAUGGGGGGAACCCUGAUCCAGCGACGCCGCGUGAGUGAAGAAGUAUUUCGGUAUGUAAAGCUCUGUCAGCCGGGAAGAAAGAAAUGACGGUACCUGACCAAGAAGCCCCGGCUAACUACGUGCCAGCAGCAGCGGUAAUACGUAGGGGGCACGCGUUUUCCGGAAUUACUGGGUGUAAAGGGAGCGUAGACGGUUAAGUAAGUCUGGAGGGAAAGGCCGGGGGCCAACCCCGGGACUGCUCUGGACACUAGUGAACGUGAGUUCAGGAGAGGUAAGCGGAAUUCCUAGUGUAGCGGUGAAAUGCGUAGAUAUUAGGAGGAACACCAGUGGCGAAGGCGGCUUACUGGACUGUAACUGACGUUGAGGCUCGAAAGCGUGGGGAGCAAACAGGAUUAGAUACCCUUGUAGUC
rnacentral:rRNA from 1 species